UUUUAUUUUUGGUUUUCCAAAAAAUUAAUGUUUUCAGACUUGCUUUCGAGAAAAAAGCAAGAGAAGUUUAUCAACGUGAAACGAGAGAAAAAACUCUGGCAGCGCCGGAGGAAGGAGAGAGGGGGAGCGAGAAGGAAGGAGAGAAGCAAAGAGAGAAAAAUAUUUCAUCUUCUCCCAUCGGCUCUUCCCCCUCUCUGUCUCUCUCUCUCUCUCUUUCCCUCCACGGAGAAACGGUAAAGGAUCUCCCGCAAACUGCCAAAGCAAACAUGUCAAUGAUGUGCACACGAAGGUGGAUAUGGAUUUAAACCAUCCAUAUGCAAAGGAAAAUGGACAAUUGUUAAUGAUCCUUCCGCAGGUUCACCUACGGAAACCUUGUUACGACUUUUACUUCCUCUAAAUGACCAAGA
rnacentral:misc_RNA from 1 species